rfam:Camelus ferus unplaced genomic scaffold scaffold114, whole genome shotgun sequence.
GAGGGUAUAGCUCAGUGGUAGAGCGCCUGCUUAGCAUGCGCGAUGUCCUGGGUUGAAUCCCUGGUACCUCCA